rnacentral:rRNA from 1 species
AUUGAACGCUGGCGGCAUGCCUUACACAUGCAAGUCGAACGGCAGCAUGGAAGAGCUUGCUCUUCUGAUGGCGAGUGGCGAACGGGUGAGUAAAGCAUCGGAACGUACCGUGUAGUGGGGGAUAACGUAGCGAAAGUUACGCUAAUACCGCAUACGCACUGAGGUGGAAAGCAGGGGAUCGCAAGACCUUGCGCUAUACGAGCGGCCGAUGUCAGAUUAGCUAGUUGGUGGGGUAAAGGCUCACCAAGCCGACGAUCUGUAGCUGGUCUGAGAGGACGACCAGCCACACUGGGGCUGAGACACGGCCCAGACUCCUACGGGAGGCAGCAGUGGGGAAUUUUGGACAAUGGGCGCAAGCCUGAUCCAGCAAUGCCGCGUGCAGGAAGAAGGCCUUCGGGUUGUAAACUGCUUUGUACGGUAACGAAACGGCUCUGGUUAAUACCUGGGCGUAAUGACGGUACCGUAAGAAUAAG